rnacentral:rRNA from 1 species
UGACCGAUAGUGAACCAGUACCGUGAGGGAAAGGCGAAAAGAACCCCGGCGAGGGGAGUGAAAAAGAACCUGAAACCGUGUACGUACAAGCAGUGGGAGCCCCACCACCAAAGCAUUCUCUGGUGUUGAAGGCCCUGCAAAGCAGCAUCGCGGUGGCGGAGCGUCGUUUGCGACGCCCAACACACAAAACAAGCGGUGAAUGCUUUGGGGUGGGGUGACUGCGUACCUUUUGUAUAAUGGGUCAGCGACUUAUAUUCUGUAGCAAGGUUAACCGAAUAGGGGAGCCGGAGGGAAACCGAGUCUUAAUU